GCUUGCUUCAGUAACACAUAUAUUAAAAUUGUAACAAUACAGAGAAGAUUAGCAUGGUCUCUGUGCAAGGAUGACAUAUUUUUUGUAUUCAGGAUAUAAUAUAUGA